rnacentral:rRNA from 1 species
UGGGGAAUAUUGCACAAUCGGCGCAAGCCUGAUGCAGCCAUGCCGCGUGUAUGAAGAAGGCCUUCGGGUAGUAAAGUACUCUCAGCGGGGAGGAAGGGAGUAAAGUUAAUACCUUUGCUCAUUGACGCUACCCGCAGAAGAAGCACCGGCUAACUCCGUGCCAGCAGCCGCGGUAAUACGGUGGGUGCAAGCGUUAAUCGGAAUUACUGGGCGUAAAGCGCACGCAGGCGGUUUGUUAAGUCAGAUGUGAAAUCCCCGGGCUCAACCUGGGAACUGCAUCGGAUACUGGCGGGCGUGCGUCUCGUAGAGGGGGGUAGAAUUACAGGUGUAGCGGUGGAGUGCGUAGAGGUCUGGGGGAAUACCGGUGGCGAAGGCGGCCCCCUGGACGAAGACUGACGCUAAGGUGCGAAAGAGUGGGGAGCAAACAGG